AUGGUUAAACCGACAACUCCUGUUGGCUUGAGACAAGCAUAUAGUUAUCCAAAGUAUAAAUACUGUAAGUCAAUAUAUGAAACAACACAGUGUGGACUACAUGGCAUGUGUAUUCAUCAAUUAGAAAUGUUGAUAAUCCAUUAAUAAAUAUAUCAGUCACUGCAAGUGAGAAAAAUACACGGUACAUAUUUCGAAAAUUUGCUACCAGGUCAUGCCAAAUUAAAUUUUAUCAUAGUAGUAUUUAUACUUAUGUUUCCUGAAAAUGAGAUGAGAAGAGGAUCAUAAACUCUACACUAUAAAGAACACCCUGCAUACAUAAACAUUUAUACCUUUCCUUCUAAUAUUAAUUAUAUUUAAUUUAAUUGUUACAAAAAUUAAUGACAGAAAUGAUGCAAUUGAAAAAACUAGCGACGGAAAAUAUAAUGCUUGAGAUAAACAAUCUUGAAUGAUCUUCGCCAGCACUUAAAAUUGAGCUAGCUUGAUUUAUGGAAAGGUACAGAAUCAGAAGGACCAGAAAAGAACCACAAAACAAUCUAUCCUAAAGGUAUGGCAUCUUAGAAAGAACACUAACCAAAAGUAGAAUAAUGGUAUACACUGUCAAGUCACCAAAUAUAAUUAAAGAAUGACAACGAGAGAAAAGAAACUGGUGGGUUUGUAACUUAUUAAUUCCUGGACAAACCUAUAAAGUUACAGCGAAGUGAAGUUAUUAUAUGAGAUAUGAUGCACUAUAUUUCAAUUCAAUACCAACCACGCCUCACUGUAUACCACAAUAAUUCAAGAACAACUAGGUCUACAAGUUCCCAAGAUUUACAAAGCAUAUUGAAUCAAUAUCGAGAAGUUAUUAUUCAAAUCAUAAUAUCUGACGUAGAUUAGCAACAAUGGAACGGAUUAUUUAAUACACACUAUAACUAAUAUGGUUAGCAUGAGAUCGCACUUUUUUAAGUAUAGCAAUAACAAGAGAAUGUCAUAUGAGUUUACAUCUUAUGAGCCUUGAUGUAUAUGCUGCCUCCAGACCCUCCACCUCCUUUUGGACCUGCAUCUCCUCCACUAGCCAGAACAGUGCCAUUCACCUCUAAUAGUGUCGUUACCAAGAGCAUCACCCUCCCCCCUCCACCACCCCCGUAAUCAAUUUCCCUACUCGUCGUCCCUCCUUUACUCCCAUAACUCCAAGGCUUCCCCAAAGUCGACCAUGAAUAAGCAUCGCCUCCCCAUACAUCUUCUGGAUUCUUACUCUUAUCCUUUAAACACGCUGCACCUCUACCACCAUGGCCCCCGCCGGCCCCAUCCACCCCUUGCGGGGUCCCACUAGUCUGCGCCGGUGGUGACCCCGCCAACGCAGUAGUAUUCACAGCAGAACCAUUGCCAAAAAACGCGUUAUCUGCAACUAACUGAAAGGUGCCGCAUAUUAUCGACGCAUUCUCUCCUAAAGUAAAGUUCCCAGUAACAUUUAUAGCAAGCUCACAGCCAGCAAACGAUGAGCAAUCCACAGUAACAUUCGCUGCAAUUACAAAAUUACCCUUUCCUUCUACAUACACAUCCUUCGUUAUGUUCAAGCUGGAGACUAUCUGGCAAGUAGUAUCCAACGUACCAACACCGCCGAGAUCGGACUCGCACGAUAGCGACGGCGGGUGCGGCGGCGGAGGCGGCGGUGCCGGCGGCGAGUAGUCCUGGUGGAACAGCAGAAAAUCCGAGUCGAAAUCCAAGUCCGAAUCCGAAUCCGCUACAGCAGCAAUCGACCUAGGGUUAGAGCAGACUGACAGCAAAAGCACUGCCACCAAUCCUACCACCUCAUGAGGUGAAAGUGCGAAUCGAAGCUUGGAAUUGGCCAUCUACCGGUGAGAAUAGUCAUCACACCGCGCCUCCGGGAGUGGAGAUAGCAGGAAAGGAAUGCAUCUCCCUAAAUUUCUCCCGAAAUCAAAUCGCUCCGGUAACCGCCGCCGAAAUCGAGCUCGCAGCCGUCGCGAUUUCCUACCAACUCAUACUCCGCGAGUAUGUGUGCAGUGUGAGCUACUGUUUGCCUGCAGAGAACCUAUAGAUACAGACUUGUACGUAAAGGUGGAGGAGGAU